rnacentral:rRNA from 1 species
AGAGUUUGAUCAUGGCUCAGGAUGAACGCUAGCUACAGGCUUAACACAUGCAAGUCGAGGGGAAACGACAUCGAAAGCUUGCUUUUGAUGGGCGUCGACCGGCGCACGGGUGAGUAACGCGUAUCCAACCUGCCCAUCACUUGGGGAUAACCUUGCGAAAGUAAGACUAAUACCCAAUGAUAUCUCUAGAAGACAUCUGAAAGAGAUUAAAGAUUUAUCGGUGAUGGAUGGGGAUGCGUCUGAUUAGCUUGGUUGGCGGGGUAACGGCCACCAAGGCUACGAUCAGUAGGGGUUCUGAGAGGAAGGUCCCCCANAUUGGAGCUGAGACACCGGUCCAAACUCCUACGGGAGGCA